rnacentral:rRNA from 1 species
UACGGGGGGGCGAGCGUUGUCCGGAUUUAUUGGGCGUAAAGAGCUCGUAGGCGGCUUGUCGCGUCGACUGUGAAAUCCCGCGGCUCAACUGCGGGUCUGCAGUCGAUACGGGCAGGCUAGAGUUCGGUAGGGGGAGACUGGAAUUCCUGGUGUAGCGGUGAAAUGCGCAGAUAUCAGGAGGAACACCGGUGGCGAAGGCGGGUCUCUGGGCCGAUACUGACGCUGAGGAGCGAAAGCGUGGGGAGCGAACAGG